GGGCGCCUGCAAAACUUUUCAUGGAAGUACAAAAGAAAUGAGUAUCCUAGAAAUUGAUUAUAAUAUUGAUGUCUCAAAUUUUAUGUAAGUUACACAUAAAUAUAAAAUCCCAAAAACAUGCAUCUACCAAAACAGGUGGAGAAAAGAGUCUUUUCAACAAAUGAUGCUGGAACAACUGCACAUCCAUAUGCAAUAAAAGGAAUCUGGACACAGACUUUACCCUCUUUUAAAAAAAGACUGACCCAAAAAUGGAACACAGACCUAAAUGUAAAAUGCAAAACUAUGAAACUCCUAGAAGAUAACACAGGAGAGAAUCUAAGGGACCUUGAGUUUGGCAAUGACUUUUUAGAUACAACACCAAAGACACAAUCCAUGAAAGAAAUAGU
rnacentral:lncRNA from 1 species